UACGAAGGGGGCUAGCGUUGUUCGGAAUUACUGGGCGUAAAGCGCACGUAGGCGGGUUGUUAAGUCAGGGGUGAAAUCCCGGAGCUCAACUCCGGAACUGCCUUUGAUACUGGCAACCUAGAGGCUGGAAGAGGUGAGUGGAAUUCCCAGUGUAGAGGUGAAAUUCGUAGAUAUUGGGAAGAACACCAGUGGCGAAGGCGGCUCACUGGUCCAGUACUGACGCUGAGGUGCGAAAGCGUGGGGAGCAAACAGG
rnacentral:rRNA from 1 species